rnacentral:sRNA from 1 species
AUUAGAUCUAAGAUCAAUGUCAAAUGUAUGCAAAAGAUGUUUAAUGCUUUAUUGUUGAAUGUCUUUGUUAUAACACAAAAAAAAUCUCUUUCACAUUUUUCUUUGCUCUCGUUUAUUCGCAUAGCAUUGGAUUAUCCUCUGCUUUGUGAAGAAAAGUUGGACAAUAGAAAUCAAGUGAUCAAUGAAAUAAACUUAUGUUCAACAACUAUGCCUUCUUUAGGUAUUUGAACCUACAUUGUUUUCACUAAUAACUUAAGGUAUCUUCUUUUCCCACCAACUCCCAUGAACUGGUUAUUACAAUGUACAAUGAAUACAAUUUACCACUCUCAUGACCUGAUUAUUAUAUCUUACCCACACCAAUCAGUGAGACUAUAUACAUUCCUUACAAUAAAAAAAACUAUGCAAGGCGCCACACUUCAUUCUCUUUUUGGUGAGUGUUUAAUUAGGCAUAGAUAUAUGCAAUACCAAUCGCUUGAAUCUUUAACUUAGUGAAUGUUUCUCUGAAGUAACAUCUUCACACUAUAUAUAUGCGCUACUUCUGAUGGAAUGUGCAGGUCUGGUAUUUGACUUAUAUAUCUACAUCUAUUAUUUAUUCUCUCCGGUUUUUCAUGGUGUCUUUCUAUAAGAUCUUAUAAUAAACCUCUCUUUUUUUUGUUGUCAAAUUCUAAAAGCAUAGCCAUCUCUUCAUUUAUUUUGUUUUCUCUGGAUGAGAAAGAUCAAAAAUAGUUUGG